UAAGACUUGUUAAAUAAUUUAAUAAAAAAAAGGCUGUGUGCAUCACUCUGAUGCAGAGGCCGGGGUUUCAACCUCCUUUUCGAAGAAAAAAAAUCAGAAUAAAAUAGUUAACGGACGUUUAAUUAUGCAUGUUGCGCUCCAGUCCUCUCCGUGCAGGUAGCAAGAUAGGGUCAGCCUGCUUAAAAAACGCAGAGGAGCCGCUUCAAAUGGUUGCUGUGCAAUAAGGGAAGCCACGACUCCGACAGUUGAAUUUGUUCUGAAUAAUAAUAAUACGAUGGAACUCCAAUUAUAAAAAAAAAAUAACACCUAGCUACCCAUCGCUCAUAUAUUUUCUUUUCUUUCAUCUUCAAAUAGAAGUAAGCGGGGAUGAUUAAUUAAACAACAUGCAAUUUAUUCGUAUUGGCGACUGGCUAGCUUGUUUCCAGGGAAGCUGCUGGUUGGAAGGCUGGCAGAGGAAUUGUCGUCCAAUUUACAAGCCAAUCUAGCAUCAUCACGACGUGGC
rnacentral:lncRNA from 1 species